UACGUAGGUGGCAAGCGUUGUCCGGAUUUAUUGGGUUUAAAGGGUGCGUAGGAGGUCUAUUAAGUCAGUGCUGAAAUAUCCCGGCUUAACCGGGAGGGUGGCAUUGAUACUGAUGGACUUGAAUGGAGUCGAGGUAGGCGGAAUUGACGGUGUAGCGGUGAAAUGCUUAGAUAUCGUCAAGAACACCUAUUGCGUAGGCAGCUUACUAGGCUCUAAUUGACACUGAGGCACGAAAGUGUGGGGAUCAAACAGG
rnacentral:rRNA from 1 species